rnacentral:tRNA from 1 species
UCCUCUGUAGUUCAGUCGGUAGAACGGCGGACUGUUAAUCCGUAUGUCAC